UACGUAGGCAGCGAGCGUUGUUCGGAAUUACUGGGCGUAAAGAGUGUGUAGGCGGUGCUCUAAGUUCGGUGUGAAAUCUCCUGGCUUAACUGGGAGGGUGCGCCGGAAACUGGGGUGCUCGAGCGUGGGAGAGGAAAGCGGAAUUCCUGGUGUAGCGGUGGAAUGCGCAGAUAUCAGGAGGAACACCGGUGGCGAAGGCGGGUCUCUGGGCCGUUACUGACGCUGAGGGGCGAAAGCGUGGGGAGCGAACAGG
rnacentral:rRNA from 1 species